rnacentral:lncRNA from 1 species
UUCUCCUAAAGCUUGGGUUACGAGCUAAAUUAACUAUAUAGUUCGAGAUUUGAGGAAGAUGACCUAAAAACUUCGUCUCUUUUUCAAAUUAGAAACAUUGGUUGUUGCUAAAUCAAAAUAGCCUUCAGUUUGGGGAAUCUCAGUAGCUCCCAUCCAAGGUUCAAUUCUCCACCCACAUUGUAAUUUAAUCCCCAUUUUUCCUACCCCGAUUUUAUAAAAAAGAAAAAAAAAGAAUAGCCUUCAAUUCUCCCUAUUCACUUUCAAUAAUAUUUUUGCAGAGAAGCGUAUGCAUUCGAUACAGUUCUUUUACUAUUUUCAGCUUUCUUAACAGUUGCUUUUUGAUCUCUUUGUAGGUGCUGAUGUUUCAACAAACACUUAGAGCUUGUAAUCUUUAUGAUUGUGAACCUGAAGGUAUAUAUGAUUAAUUCCAGGUAUAUACUAUCAUAUUUUCCGGAAAGCAGUAGCAAGUUACUUUUUUUUCAUUGUUCCUUUUGGUAUUUUUUUCUUUGUUCUUCUUAUGAUAUUUAUAUGUUAUAUAUUCAAAUUUUCAUUUAGAUGGUGACUUUUGAUGAAAUAAUUUUUUUUUGAUGAAAAGAUGAUGGUGACUUAGAAUUAUAUGCUUGCGAAACUUUGAGGAUAGGAAGUUUUAUUCCACUUUUGGAUUUGAGUUGCUCAUAUGAACUUCCACAGAAGCUAUCGCAUUUAUCACUAGGUUUUAGAGGGUGACUCCAGCCCCACCUCUAUUUAGAUAUUGCAAUUUCAUUAAUGAAAAAUCAUAUGUAUAGGACCAACAGGGCCAGUGGCUAUGACUAAAAUAUAUUUUAGAAGUUCAUAGAGGUGUAUUUAGUAUUUACAAUUUAGGCUAUUUAGGCUUUAAACAAUUGUUUAAAUAUGUCAGAGAUGAAGUCAUAUUUGAGAAAUAUGUCAUAAGCUAUUUCCAAUUAUUCUAUUAUCCAUUGUUUUGACUCUUGGGAAGCAAUAAGAAUAAGAUUAAAGGAAGUAAGCACUAAAGUAUUGAAUAGAAAAACAUAGUUAUAAGAUGUGGCAUAGUUUUUUUCCUAAAGAAUAAUUGUCCGCCACAAUUAUAGAUGGAUAGCUUAAGUUGUAUGGAAUAAGAAUGUCAUCUAUUGUACCUUAUGUUUUCAAACACAAUUGGCAUGUGGGAGAAAGUCUUACCAUAUGACCUAAUCGAAUAAAUUACUAUCUAAUAUUUGCAGUAUUUUUCUUAAUCUAUGAGGGUAAAAGUUGCCUUGUUAUUUGGGACCAAGGGAUUGCUUGUUCUUCACUAAAUUAGUUGAUCUAUAAAAAGAGUACCUAUGAUGAAAUAACAAUCAGUUUAUUUUUUUUAAAAAUGAUUGGUGAAUGCCAAGAGAAUCCCAUGUUCUAGGGGUUUGGUUCAACAGUAAAUGUUGUGCUAUGUGGAACGCGAAAAUGUGCUAGGUGUACAUCACACGUUUGAAGUUUGGGUGUUAUAUCAAAUUUUGUAUUUAAUUGAAUAACAACAUUGUGAUAAAUCCAUUAUCUCAGUAGUUUCUCGGUCAUAAAAAAUAUUUGACGAGAGAGUCCACAAGAUCAUGCUGUUAGGACAAUGUUCCAAUUUCAGCUUCCAAUUUCGUUUUUAGAGGGUUGUACAGAGGUGAUAAAUGAUUUUAAGAUCCAUGGGUAUUUAUGCUUGUCAUGUCUCAUAAUCCAGGACUAUGUUGCUCGGACUCUUUAAAAAUGUCAAGAGGUGCAUGUCGGAUUCGCCAAAAGUAGUGCAUUUUUGAAGAAUUCAUUUGUAGUUUUCAUGAUUCAUUUUUCUUGAUAUUAGGCUCGAACAAGCAGAACAAAAUCGCUAAGAAAAUCUCGAGUACAUUUAGUUGUCAAGCGUCAUUGCUGAAGAACUUAUAGCAUGUCACCUAAUAUCUGAAAAAUUCUCAGAUAUAUUGCUCUUUUUUCCUGAAAUUUUUCAAUAGGGAAGCACCAUUCUUCAGGCGAUAUGGUAAUACCAUUAUCUACGAGCAACAAUAUCUAUAAAUGUAUAACAAUUUUUCAGAUGCUUCUCCUACAAAAUGAUCAGUUGAGCAUCUUUCGAAGAUCUGCAAUCAGCCAUACUGCAAAUGCAGUUGGUAUAAGCCUCUCGACGAUGCAUUCCAAAGUAACUUAGUAAGAAAUCCUUCUCCAUAACUCUUUAUGAGUUUAGUUGACCACAUAUUUUUUAUUUAAGUCAAACAAGUAACUGAUAGUAUUCCUACUUUUUUUUGAAUAUGUAGCCAAGAUUUUAAAAGCUAAGCUUAUAUAUGUCAUGUACAGGCAGGUAAUGGUAGAAACUCAGGGAGUUAAUGUUUAUUGGAAUGCUUGCAUAUUUGAGUGUUGACAUUGCGCCCUUUGUUAGCUGCUCUUCAUCUAUGACGAUCUUUACGGUUGUUUUUUUUUUCCGGCAUCUUCUGCGUUCUGGCUUUCGUAAACAAUUCUUAUUUCUCUUUUCUCUUCGGUUGUUGCUUUAAAUUUUCUUUUUAUGUUUUUGUUCGUUCCCUGCUUAACAUUCAAAACAAGAAACGUACCUAUUGUUUUGAUAGUGAAUCAAAUUCCAAGCAAGAUGAGAAGUUAUGGACCCAUGCAGGAAAGGGUCAUGAGGCUCAGGUUUAAUUCAAGAAUAGCCAACAUAGACGAAGAAAGAUUGAUUUUAACCCUCAAAGGAUGCAUAGAAAGAAGAAUAAAAAAAGACCAAAAACAAGGAAAGGAAGAAGAGAUCAAAUACAACCAGGAAACUGCAAUAGUAUUUGAAAAAAAAGAACAGAAUGUUAAGCAGGGAACGAACAAAAACAUAAAAAGAAAAUUUAAAGCAACAACCGAAGAGAAAAGAGAAAUGAACUUUUGAUUUUUUUAAAUGUAUACCCUUUAAUGCUAUGGCCCUGAAUUUUAUAAUUAGAAUGGUAAAUGGAGUAGAUCGCUGCUUGAAAGUUGUUAUUGAAUGAAUUUACUACUACUAAAUAUCCUAGAUGUCUAAACCAACUAUGCUGCAUCUUAUAUUUCUAUUUUUCCUUAUACAUGCAAGUAAUUCCCUGCUUUGGCUAUGUCAUGGUACAAGUUCUAAUGCUCAUUGUGUUGUGAAUGUGAGAGAAACACUAUUUCUACCUAAUAUUUGAAGUUGUUGGAAGAUGUUGAGUUGAAACAUCAAAAGGUCCAUGUAUAUUUUACAUUUAAAGUUUUAGAAAUACCUGUUGUAAGAGAGUGACUUUUGAUGAGAUUAUAUGCUAGAUGUCAACAAAUGUAUUUUAGGAUGGAUAAGAUAGUUAACAUUUAUUGUUGAUCAUUGGAUAAGCUAUUUUAUUUAUAUGACUUGCAUUUUUGUUUUAAGAUUAGAGUUGGAGUGUUCUUAGUCCUCCUCGAGAUGUUACAUUUAAUAUGCCGGAUCUGUGCUUAGAACAUGCUUCUCCUUUGUGUCACCACCAAAUAAAAUGUUCUAUUCUUUCAUUCUCUACUUAUUAGACUUCUUUAGUUUUUUUGGAAACUAUGCACUUGGAGCAUCUAUAAGUGAGCUCUUAUAAAUAUAAAACAUUGGACCAUUAGAGUAUUCUAAUACACAAUUUGAACUUAAAAGUACAAACAGUGAUGAGGUUCCCAGAUCCUCAAAAAAUGUAUUAUGCAUUUUCUCUUGACUCUUGAGUCACAAUUUUUUUUUAUUACAAGGGAAACCCGCAACCGCUACCCUUUGGGUGCGCACAGGGUAAAACCCCCGCUCCUAUGCAAUAGCUUGCAAAUCACAUAGGAGAGGUAACCCGCACUAGGCAAGCCCGGUGCGACGAGCUCGACCCAGAAGGCAAACCCCUUGCUUUCGCAAGCAAGGGGUUUCGAACUUGAGACCUCCAAGUCCCAAGCGCAAACCACUGGGCCACCUCUUGAGUGACAAAUUUAGCUUAGCACUUUUUAUGUCAAAUGAUAAUUUGUAUCUGUCCAGGAGAAAAAUCAUAUCUGAUAGUUCUAAGAAUUGACCGAACAAUGUUUUGAACCUUAGCAAAGAACAAGGUUAACAUUUAAACAUAUAUUGUCAUUGUUUUUAUUCAAUUUUUUUUUUUAUAUUUUGUUCUUUUGCUUAGAUUUUAUAGUUGUGUUUGUUUUUUUUUUAAAAGAGAAUUUUCAUGCAAUUUAAGGUUGCACGAUAGAGAUCAAUGGUAACUCAGAGUAGGUUUAUCUCUAUUGAAUAAAUUUUAUGAUUAUUAUUCAUCUUCAUUUCUGGUACUGUAGCUAAACUUACUGAAAUACAUAUCUUACAUUUUGAUAUUACAAAAUUAGGAAGGAAACUUAUCAGUGAAAAAUUAUUGAAAAAGCUGCAUAAGUAUCAGCAUUUCCUAACGGAUUAGCUGCAUAGUACAAUGAUGCAUAAUCUUUAACUCGAUUGGAUGUACCUCCUUUACGGGACUUGGCUAAUCUAGAGUCCUUAUUUUAAUUGAUCCGCCAGUAUUGCUUUAUGUUACACUACUACAUGUUAUUGCGAUAAAUUAUGAGGGUUUUUUCUGAGGUCAGCUAUAUGACAUCAAUUAAGUUGAUAUUUUUCUUUUCUAUAAAGAAAACUAUAAAUCGUCAAGAACACAGAGAUAUUAGAAAAUAAAAAUGCAUUGAAUAAAAGUAGGCUUAAUAUCUAUUCUUAUGGUUUCAAUAAAAUAGAUUUAAUCUAAAGUGCCAUAUUGUGAUUGGUCAAGCUAAUCUAUAGUUUGCAGUGUCUAAACUUUCAUGCUUAUUGUAUUUUGAGGUUUAUCUUUUAGAUUUUUGUUUUCUUAUUUAUUUUUUCCUUGAGACAUUUUACCUACGCAUCAUUUGAAAGUUCUUCCUCUUAUUGCAUAACUUUAAAUUUGAGAACUUCACAGCUCCUUCCGCGUGGCCAAAUUCAUCACUUUCUUGCCCUGUUAUUUAGUUAUUCAAGCUUUUUGAUGAACUUUGUGUAGAUUUUCUGGUAUUAGAUAUUUGUAUGGUUCUUCUGUUACUUUUUUGAGAUAUUAGGUAAAGUUUUAAUCAAUAAUCUUACGUGCUUUUAGGAUUUUGUUGUGGAUACCUUGGCAAAAUUAGUUAAAGGAACAAUUGUUUUUAUUGUAGUUAUAUAUAUUUAAAGAGGACCCUAACGACUAUCCUGUUGUUAAAUUCUUUAACAAUAACAAUACCAAGGUGACAUUUCCAUAAUCUAUUCACAUUAUAUUUUCUACUUUGAUUAUGAUCAUCUUGUCGCUAUCUGAAUCUUCAUCUGCUCACCAAUUCAAUUUUUUUUGUUAUAAUGUUUCUACAUUAGAAGCUUAGAUGUAAGAUGUGUAUCGAAAUUUUCUCUUCUUGUUAUUUUCUUUUAUUUUUAGACAUUCACCUUGGAUUACAUUAAUAUACUUGAAUGUUGUCACUACUAUUGAUCUUAUGAACCUAAGGAACAAGUACUUAGAUCCUUUCAGAUUUUAAGGAUAAUACUGAAAUUGAAUUGAAAGUGCACAAUACACCUGAUCUAAGAUUCACCCAUGAAGACUACGAAAAAUGUUGCAAAUUGUCAUGGUACUGAAAUUUUGUGAACAGGUAGCUUCAUGCCUAUAUAAUGGUUGCUUAAAAGUUACUAUAUGUUUCUAACCCAUCAAUUUGAAUAGUAAAUCAUUUUUGAUGAUACGUACUAUUUAUUGAUGAUUCGAAACAAAGUUCAAGUGGCUAUGUACUGAACUAACAAUGUUGUCUUUAUCCCUGUUUAAUUUUUUCAGUAGACAAGUUUUAAUAAAUUUAGUUUGAGAUAUAUUUUGAGCAUGUUAUUUGAUUAAUUAUAUUAUUUUCUUGAAAAUACAAGUGGUGAAUUGACCUAGAUAUGUUUUCCAGUAAUUGUGUGUUGAACUGUUUAUCAAAUUUUUGGUAGCUUAACUAGGUGAUCAUUAAUGCAUUUAUUCAUAUUGUGCAGUUUGAAUAAGACGCAACGGUUGAAAUAAAGCUAGAGUUGUAUACGGUCAGCAAUCUAUAUUGUUUGUUUGCUUUUUCUUAUCAAUCAAAUGUUGUAAAAAAAUUAGUUUCUUAUUUUAGUUAAACUUUCAACAAACACGAAAGGGCUAUGGACAUUCCUCCAUAUCUGAGGCACUUUUAUAGUAUCUUUGUAAAUAUAAAUUUGCAUUCCUUACAACUUUGUAAUACAAAUAAUUAAUUUCAAUUCGUCGGGCC